GACGAACGCUGGCGGCGUGCUUAACACAUGCAAGUCGAACGGAAAGGCCUCUUUCGGGGGUUUCUCAAGUGGCGAACGGGUGAGUAACACAUGAGUAGCUUGCCUUUGACUUUGGGUUAACUUACGGAAACUGGGCCUAGUACCGACUGGGUGCUCCUGUUGCCUGCAGGGGUUUGGAAAGUUUCGGGGGGUUGGGGUGGCUUAGUGGCUUAUCCGCUUUUUGUUGGGUAGUUGGCUUACCAAGGGUUUGCCGGGUAGCCGGACUGUGGGGGUGACCGGCGACAUUGGGACUGAGAGACGGCCGAGAUAGCGACGGGAGGCAGCAGUGGGGAAUAUUGCACAAGGGGUGGAAGGCUGAUGCAGCAACGCCGUGGGUGGGAUGACGGUCUUCGGGUUGUAAACCGCUUUCGCACAUGACGAAGCUUUGUGUGACGGUAGUGGGUAAAGAAGCACCGGCUAACUACGUG
rnacentral:rRNA from 1 species